CCCUUAGAUGCUCUGGGCCGCACGCGCGCUACACUGGUCGAUGCAACGAGUUUCUUUCCUUGGCCGACAGGCCUGGGCAAUCUUUGAACAUCGAUCGUGAUCGGGAUAGAUUCUUGUAAUUUUUGAUCUUAAACGAGGAAUUCCUAGUAAACGCAAGUCAUCAGCUUGCAUUGAUUACGUCCCUGCCCUUUGUACACACCGCCCGUCGCACCCACCGAUUGAAUGGUCCGGUGAAAUCUCCGGACUGGCGUGAGUCGGAGCAAUCUGACAAACGCCGGAAAGUUGAUUAAACCUUACCAUUUAGAGGAAGGUGAAGUCGUAACA
rnacentral:rRNA from 1 species